AAUGAACGUUGGCGGCGUGGAUUAGGCAUGCAAGUCGUACGGGUCGGUGUAGCAAUACAACGGCAAGUGGCGAAAGGGAGAGUAACACGUAGAUACCUACCCUCUGGUCGGGGAUACCGCGGCAUAACCGCAAGUAAUACCCGAUAAAAUCUCCGGAUCAAAGGUGUGAUUUCGCCGGAGGAGGGGUCUGCGUUCUAUCGGCUUGUUGGUGAGGUAAUGGCUCACCAAGGCUAAGACGGAUACGGGGUGUGAGAGCAUGCCCCCGCUCACUGGGACUGAGACACUGCCCAGACACCUACGGGUGGCUGCAGUCGAGAAUCUUCGGCAAUGGGCGCAAGCCUGACCGAGCGACGCCGCGUGCGGGAUGAAGGCCUUCGGGUUGUAAACCGCUGUCGAGGGGAAUGAAGUGUAGGUGGGUACUCCCAUCUAUUUGACAGAUCCCUGGAGGAAGCAUGGGCUAACUUCGUGCCAGCCGCCGCCGUAAUAC
rnacentral:rRNA from 1 species